CCGAAUAUCCAACUGACUUAUUAAUUUCUUAUAACGUACUCUAUUUUUCUUUGCCAAAUAAGCCAGCAAACGUUGACGUUUUCCCAAAAGUCUUCGUAGACCUCUUUCCGAUGAAAAAUCUUUUUUGUGUAAUUCUAAAUGUGAAGCAAGUCUCCGUAUCUUAUUGGUGAAACUGAAUACUUGAAAUUCAACAGAACCCCUGUUUUCUUGUUUUUCUUCUUUAACCAUAAAUCAACAAAUUUUUCUACCUCCUUUCUUUUUCAUGUAUUUUUCUGAUCAGGAAAAAUAAAAAAUUAUGUCAGUUAUUUUUAAGUUAUUCUAAUCUCGUACACACAAAAAUUUGCAAUUAUUCAUCUACUGCUGGAAUCUGGAAUUUGGAUUUAUUUUAUCGAUGCAAAUUGGAUUUGGAUAGAAGGGUACAUUCUUUUAUUUUAGAUAGAAGAAACAUUUCUUCUAUCUAAAAUAAAAGAAUUUUGCUGAUUUAUUUAUUGCUAUAUCCAAUUUAUAGAAUUGAUAUACCAUUUAAUUGAUAUCAUUUAGCAAAAUGAAACACAACAUAUGCAUCCAUCUUUGGGCUCGAGAAUUUCACGGGAUAGAGAUAUAGUAUAAGAAAUAGGCUAUUAAGUAACUCUAAAUGAAUUGUGGAUACAUCUGUAUCCUUAACAUACUGAAACGACUGCCAUUAUUCGUAUCAAACCAAUAGCGAUUCAUAAAAGCUAAAUCUUGUAAUCAAUGGUGGGCCAAUAAUGAAUUUUUUUGCAUAUGUAUUAAGACGCUUGGUCUGAUUUCGAAAUUGUCCAGAGUUUUUUAUGUUGUUUUCAUUGCAAAAUGAUGGAUCUCCUUCCGUAACUUUCCAAUUACGAGUACGAGAAUUGAAAGAUAGAACACUCAUAUCGAUAAAAUAGUUUGAACUAUUUACUAGAAGGGCACGCAGCCCUUUUUCCAAUGCCAAAUCGACGACCUAUGUAUAAAAAAAAGAGAAAUUUUUUGGAUUUGAAGAAAAAAUAAAAGGAAUUCUAUCAAUUUUUAUUUUCCAUUUAUUUAGUUUGUUUUUCUUAAUGAAAUUGAAAUUAUUAACUAACAGAGCAAACACAAAUAAAGAUAACUUUCCAAUUACGAGUACGAGAAUUGAAAGACAUGAAAAUUCUCAAUUCUCUACGGCGUCUAGGAGAUGGAUCGAAUAUUUUCAGGAACAAGAAAAUCAGAAGAAUCUUUUUCUCUAUUCACUACCAUUCCGCGUCUUCGACUUCUAUUAGUUUCUUUUCUUCUUUAAUGCAAUAGCUAUAGUUUGAUAUAGAAUCCAUUUCUCAAAGUAAUGGAAACCAUUCUC
rnacentral:lncRNA from 1 species